rnacentral:rRNA from 1 species
GCCCAGACUCCUACGGGAGGCAGCAGUGGGGAAUAUUGCACAAUGGGGGAAACCCUGAUGCAGCGACGCCGCGUGGGCGAGGAAGUACCUCGGUAUGUAAAGCCCUCUCAGCAGGGAAGAAACAGGACAGUACCUGACUAAGGAGCCCCGGCUAACUACGUGCCAGCAGCCGCGGUAAUACGUAGGUGGCAAGCGUUGUCCGGAUUUACUGGGUGUAAAGGGCGUGUAGCCGGGCUGACAAGUCAGAUGUGAAAUCCGGGGGCUCAACCCCCGAACUGCAUUUGAAACUGUUGGUCUUGAGUAUCGGAGAGGCAGGCGGAAUUCCUAGUGUAGCGGUGAAAUGCGUAGAUAUUAGGAGGAACACCAGUGGCGAAGGCGGCUUACUGGACAGUAACUGACGUUGAGGCUCGAAAGCGUGGGGAGCAAACAGGAUUAGAUACCCUCGUA